rnacentral:lncRNA from 1 species
AUGACAAACGAGUGGGCUCGCCAACCGGGCGCUUCAGUCGAGAAAGUCAUAAGUGCCGAAGUCGGGGUCUCUGUGGAAGGCGGAGGCUUGCAGGGGAGCGGGCAGCCGGGCUGGACAGCAGAGCGCGGAGCAGCCCGGAUGCUGCCGUGUGACCGAGUCGUGCCUCGGGCGGGCUCCUGGCUCCGUCCCCGCCAGGCCCGCUGCUGUCAGCCGGUCGCAGUGGGAGCCUGGGCCAGGCUUGGCGACAGCUCCCAGGGGUCACUGGGGUGCAGGAGAGAGGCCUUUCCACCUCGCCCCCUCCACGAAGCCUCAGCUUCAGUCUGCUCCUCACCCAGGACACGGUCCCCGAAGCACCCAAUGAGGACUUCAGCGUGACGAGGGUUAUGCGGCUUUUCAAAUGCCAGAUGUUUUGUUCCCCCGCGUGGACCACAGCUCAUCAUGAAGAACCCUGGACUGGGAAUAGGAGGCCUGAGCUCCUGCCCCAGUUCCAACUCGUGGUGGUUCCAGGCCUCUCUCGCCUGUGAUUUAACCUGUUGAACAGGAUCAGAAGAGCUUCUGCACCAGGCAGCGUGACAAUACCUGGGAUGGACGUGACAAAGGCCCAGGCCUGUGGUCCUGCCCCUCCUUCUGUCCGUAUCUACCCAGAACAAGUGAAAACAUAUGUUCACACAAAAACUCAUACACCAAUUUCAUAGCAGCAUUAUUUAUAGGAGCCUGAAAGUGGAAACCACCCGAACGUCCAUCAACUGACGAAUGGGUAAAUACAACGUGGUACAGGCACGAGAUGGAAUAUUACUCAGUCCUGAAAAAGAAUGAGGUACGGACACGUCCGAUAGAGAGGGACUUGGAAAACGUCACACCAAGUGGAAGAAGCCAGUGCCCGGGCCCCCAGGGCAUGGUUCCAUCCACGUGGAAGGUCCAGGGCAGGAGCAUCCACAGGGACGGCAAGCAGAGGAGUGGCUGCUGGGUCUGCGUAGGACUGGAGAGGGCUCAGGGAGUGAGGGUGAUGAAAAUGUUCCAAAAUUAAAUUAUGGGGAUGGCCGCACAAUUCUGUUAAUUAUGCUGAAAAAUCAUGGAGUGUUACACUUCAAAUGGGUGAACUUCAUGAUGUGUAAACUACACACCAAUAAAGCUCUUUAAAAAUGUCUCUGGGUGUCCUGAGUUUAAUCUAGAAAUGCUACUUGUGCUCCUCCUUCCCUCUCUCCCCCGAUCUUCAGGGCCUUCUUCUCCCUCUGAGAACAUACAGAGGUAACGGGCCUCCUUCUCCUUCCUGAGGUGCGAGGGCACUGUUUGAUGUGUGGGAAGGAAUAGGGAAGCUCUAGGGAGUCCGGAUGCCACCCUGCCUGACCUCCGACAGCCACGGGAGCUCCCCUGCCUUGAUUUACCCUUCUGCCCACUGCAGGGAGAGGAAGCAGGGGAUCCCGGCCCUUGCAUCCUGCAGAUGGUGUCUGGGGAGUCCGGGAAGGUGGGGAGCCUGUCUUGGUCAGGAUGGGGUGGCUGGGCAGGGAGCUCUAUUGAGUCUGUUAAGUGAUGGAGCCCACUCGGCGUCUCCAGGUGGUGUAGGGGGGCAGGUGGGCUGCCCAGAGGUACCACUCUGGCUGCAAUCGGGCCGGAGAAGCCAAGCAGUCCGUGGCUGGCGCCCUGUGGGCUAGGGUCAGGGGCGGG